rfam:Rhabditophanes sp. KR3021 genome assembly, scaffold: RSKR_contig0000025
CAGCAUCUGAUAUGUCUGGUAUUCUUGGGUUGAGCUUAGUUCCAACCGAGAAAUAUAAGACAUAUCGAAUGUUUU